AUUGAACGCUGGCGGCAGGCCUAACACAUGCAAGUCGAACGAGUGGCGGACGGGUGAGUAAUGUCUGGGAAACUGCCUGAUGGAGGGGGAUAACUACUGGAAACGGUAGCUAAUACCGCAUACCAUCGGAUGUGCCCAGUUGGGAUUAGCUAGUGGGUGGGGUAAAGGCUCACCUAGGCGACGAUCCCUAGCUGGUCUGAGAGGAUGACCAUCCACACUGGAACGGAGACACGGUCCAGACUCCUACGGGAGGCAGCAGUGGGGAAUAUUGCACAAUGGGGGCAAGCCUGAUGCAGCCAUGCCGCGUGUAUGAAGAAGGCCUUCGGGUUGUAAAGUACUUUCAGCGGGGAGGCGUUACCCGCAGAAGAAGCACCGGCUAACUCCGUGCCAGCAGCCGCGGUAAUUC
rnacentral:rRNA from 1 species